UACGAAGGGGGCUAGCGUUGCUCGGAAUCACUGGGCGUAAAGCGCACGUAGGCGGAUUGCUAAGUCAGGGGUGAAAUCCUGGAGCUCAACUCCAGAACUGCCUUCGAUACUGAGAGUCUCGAGUCCGGAAGAGGCGAGUGGAACUCUGGUGUAGCGGUGGAAUGCGCAGAUAUCAGGAGGAACACCGGUGGCGAAGGCGGGUCUCUGGGCCGAUACUGACGCUGGAGGAGCGAAAGCCGUGGGGAGCGAACAGG
rnacentral:rRNA from 1 species